GUCCCUUUAGAGACAUUAGAUAAAAUUGGAACGAUAAAGAAAACAUAGCAUUGCAACUGCACAAAGAUGACACACAUAUAUCAAGAAAUGAUCCAAAUAAAA
rfam:Cucumis melo, WGS project CAJI01000000 data, contig: 01115